rnacentral:rRNA from 1 species
CACCGCGGUUAUACGAGUAACUCACAUUAAUAUUCUUCGGCGUAAAGAGUGGUUAAAAAAACUUAAAACUAAAGUUAAGACUUUGUUAAAACUGUUAUACGUACUUACAAACAAUAAAAAUCACCAACGAAAGUGACUUUAUAACCUUUGAACCCACGACAAUUAAAACC